UACGUAGGGCGCAAGCGUUAUCCGGAAUUAUUGGGCGUAAAGAGCUCGUAGGCGGUUCCGUAAGUCGUGAAGUCAAAUCUCUGGGCUCAACCCAGAAUCGCUUCCGAUACUGCGGUGACUGGAGUCCGGUAGGGGAGUGUGGAAUUCCUGGUGUAGCGGUGGAAUGCGCAGAUAUCAGGAGGAACACCGAUGGCGAAGGCAGGUCUCUGGGCCAUUACUGACACUGAGAAGCGAAAGCGUGGGUAGCAAACAGG
rnacentral:rRNA from 1 species